UUGAAAGGGAAACGAUUGAAGUCAGUCGUGCUGGCGCGAAAUCAACCCUCUCGUCGAGAGGACACAUGGCGUGGCGAGCCUCAACCGUCACGAAGCGUGAACUCUUGGCGAAAAGGAGCACUUUCGUGUCCGCUGGUUAACAUCAAUUUCGAACGUCAUAAAAAGGCUGGAGGGAUGUGGCUCCUUCGGGAGUGUUAUAACCUUUAGCGGAAUGUGGUGGUCGGGAUUGAGGAUUGCAACGAAUACCUUUAGGGCUGUUCCACCUGGCCUCUCUUUGGUAUCCUGGUGACGACAGCUUGCUGACGUUGUUAGGAUUCGCCAUUGAACAGGCUAGAGUGUGAGCAAAUUCGUUAAGGAUG
rnacentral:rRNA from 1 species